AGCUGGACUUGGCCGGGGAGCUAGACGUACCCUGUGACCCUCAACCGCCUUUAGGGGGGGCGACAGCUAGUGACGGCGCACCCAGUGAGCUGUCUAAUCCGCAUUUCAACUGAGAUAUCCUGUCCCUCGGGGUCGCAGGUGAUUGCAGAUGUUUACCGGAGGGUAAAUGUCGAGUCUUCAUCAUGGAAACCGGGUCAGGCCCGGAAGGGAGCAGCCUUACCGUGGACUACCGACGCUUGAGUGGGUCGCGGGGUUGAGACGAAGUGUGGUGUCUGACAUCUCAUGAGGACGACAACGCUAGUGGUCUGGCA
rfam:Marine Group III euryarchaeote CG-Epi6 CG-Epi6-C12, whole genome shotgun sequence.